rnacentral:lncRNA from 1 species
AGCUUUCAAGGUACCCUCAGAAGGAGUACACAGGAGCAACGUUUGGACAAAGAAAGGAAUCCUCCAUCUGCACCCUGGCCUUGCUCCCCCCACCCAAUGAUCAAGCAGUGGAAACCAGUCAGGAGCUUUCUGUAAAGAAAAAGGCCUCAGUGCUUCUUCAAGUAUAAUGUAAAGGACAGUUUGCCUGUGCCUGAUCAUCUCCAGCAGAGUGAAUGAAGUUGAUUGGACGGUUCUAUGUAACAUCUUCCACCCUGAAUAAACAUGUGGCUAGUUCUGUG